rnacentral:rRNA from 1 species
CGUGUAGGCGGCCCGAUCAGUCCGCUGUAAAAGUCCAGGGCUCAACCCUGGGAUGCCGGUGGAAACUGUCGGGCUAGAGUCCGGAAGAGGCGAGUGGAAUUCCUGGUGUAGCGGUGAAAUGCGCAGAUAUCAGGAGGAACACCAAUGGCGAAGGCAGCUCGCUGGGACGGUACUGACGCUGAGACGCGAAAGCGUGGGGAGCAAACAGGAUUAGAUACCCUGGUAGUCCACGCCGUAAACGAUGGGCACUAGGUGCGGGAGGUGUCGACUCCUUCCGUGCCGCAGCUAACGCAUUAAGUGCCCCGCCUGGGGAGUACGGCCGCAAGGCUAAA